GUGAAUCAUCGAAUUUUUGAACGCAAAUUGCACUCUCUUCGGAGAGUACGCCUGUUUGAGGGUCAGCCUAAAAAAAAAUCCACAAUGGUCCUUUUUUGGGGGUUUAUUCGGCGGAAAUUGGGUCAUUUUAAACCCUUGGGUUUUUAGGGGUUUAAAAUUUUUUUUUCAAUUCCCCGACCGUUUUUAAGAUUUUAUUUUUUCCCUUUUAAG
rnacentral:misc_RNA from 1 species